CAGUAGCCGCGGUAAUACGAGGGGGGCAAGCGUUGUUCGGAAUUAUUGGGCGUAAAGGGUGCGUAGGCGGUUUGAUAAGUUUGGUGUGAAAUCUAUGGGCUCAACCCAUAGUCUGCACGGGAAACUGUCGGGCUUGAGAAUGGGAGAGGUGAGUGGAAUUUCCGGUGUAGCGGUGAAAUGCGUAGAUAUCGGAAGGAACACCUGUGGCGAAAGCGGCUCACUGGACAAUAACUGACGCUGAUGCACGAAAGCUAGGGGAGCAAACGGGAUUAGAUACCCCAGUAGUCCCUGUCUCUUAUAC
rnacentral:rRNA from 1 species